rnacentral:tRNA from 1 species
GCCCAUGUAGCUCAGUUGGUAGAGCGUUCGACUGAAAAUCGAAAGGUCAGCGGUUCGACCCCGCUCGUGGGCA